AUGGAUGUGAUGAUAAUUUCCCCAGAUGAUCGAAGUUGAUUAAGCUGUGCGAUUUUUUUCUCUCUUUUGAGAAUCCAAGCCAGAAAUCUGAUCCAU
rfam:Citrus clementina cultivar Clemenules unplaced genomic scaffold scaffold_6, whole genome shotgun sequence.